rnacentral:rRNA from 1 species
UGGGGAAUCUUGGACAAUGGGGGCAACCCUGAUCCAGCCAUGCCGCGUGAGUGAUGAAGGCCUUAGGGUCGUAAAGCUCUUUCGCCUGUGAAGAUAAUGACGGUAGCAGGUAAAGAAACCCCGGCUAACUCCGUGCCAGCAGCCGCGGUAAUACGGAGGGGGUUAGCGUUGUUCGGAAUUACUGGGCGUAAAGCGCACGUAGGCGGACCAGAAAGUUGGGGGUGAAAUCCCGGGGGCUCAACCCCGGAACUGCCUCCAAAACUAUUGGUCUAGAGUUCGAGAGAGGUGAGUGGAAUUCCAAGUGUAGAGGUGAAAUUCGUAGAUAUUUGGAGGAACACCAGUGGCGAAGGCGGCUCACUGGCUCGAUACUGACGCUGAGGUGCGAAAGUGUGGGGAGCAAACAGGAUUAGAUACCCUGGUAGUCCACACCGUAAACGAUGAAUGCCAGUCGUCGGGUAGCAUGCUAUUCGGUGACACACCUAACGGAUUAAGCAUUCCGCCUGGGG